CAGUCGCCGCGGUAAUACGAAGGGUGCAAGCGUUACUCGGAAUUACUGGGCGUAAAGCGUGCGCAGGCGGUUAUAUAAGACAGAUGUGAAAUCCCCGGGCUCAACCUGGGAACUGCAUUUGUGACUGUAUAGCUAGAGUACGGCAGAGGGGGAUGGAAUUCCGCGUGUAGCAGUGAAAUGCGUAGAUAUGCGGAGGAACACCGAUGGCGAAGGCAAUCCCCUGGGCCUGUACUGACGCUCAUGCACGAAAGCGUGGGGAGCAAACAGGAUUAGAUACCCCUGUAGUCCCUGUCUCUUAUAC
rnacentral:rRNA from 1 species